CCUACACAUGCAAGCCGAGCGGUAUUUGUUCUUCGGAACAGAGAGAGCGGCGCACGGGUGCGGAACACGUGUGCAACCUGCCUUUAUCUGGGGGAUAGCCUUUCGAAAGGAAGAUUAAUACCCCAUAAUAUAUUGAGUGGCAUCACUUAAUAUUGAAAACUCCGGUGGAUAGAGAUGGGCACGCGCAAGAUUAGAUAGUUGGUGAGGUAACGGCUCACCAAGUCAAUGAUCUUUAGGGGGCCUGAGAGGGUGAUCCCCCACACUGGUACUGAGACACGGACCAGACUCCUACGGGAGGCAGCAGUGAGGAAUAUUGGACAAUGGGUUAGCGCCUGAUCCAGCCAUCCCGCGUGAAGGACGACGGCCCUAUGGGUUGUAAACUUCUUUUGUAUAGGGAUAAACCUACUCUCGUGAGAGUAGCUGAAGGUACUAUACGAAUAAGCACCGGCUAACUCCGUGCCAGCAGCCGCGGUAAUACGGAGGGUGCAAGCGUUAUCCGGAUUUAUUGUGUUUAAAAGGUCCGUAGGCG
rnacentral:rRNA from 1 species